rnacentral:rRNA from 1 species
AGUGAACGCUGGCGGUAGGCCUAACACAUGCAAGUCGAACGGCAGCACAGUAAGAGCUUGCUCUUACGGGUGGCGAGUGGCGGACGGGUGAGGAAUACAUCGGAAUCUACUUUUUCGUGGGGGAUAACGUAGGGAAACUUACGCUAAUACCGCAUACGACCUACGGGUGAAAGCAGGGGAUCUUCGGACCUUGCGCGAUUGAAUGAGCCGAUGUCGGACUAGCUAGUUGGCGGGGUAAAGGCCCACCAAGGCGACGAUCCGUAGCUGGUCUGAGAGGAUGAGCAGCCACACUGGAACUGAGACACGGUCCAGACUCCGACGGGAGGCAGCAGUGGGGAAUAUUGGACAAUGGGCGCAAGCCUGAUCCAGCCAUACCGCGUGGGUGAAGAAGGCCUUCGGGUUGUAAAGCCCUUUUGUUGGGAAAGAAAAGCAGCAGGUUAAUACCCCGCUGUUCUGACGGUACCCAAAGAAUAAGCACCGGCUAACUUCGUG